rnacentral:rRNA from 1 species
CGUGUAGGCGGGCCGAUAAGUCGGUGGUGAAAUCUCUCGGCUUAACCGAGAAAUCGCCUUCGAUACUGUCGGUCUUGAGUAUGGAAGAGGGAAGUAGAAUUCCUGGUGUAGCGGUGACAUGCGUAGAUAUCAGGAGGAAUACCAGUAGCGUAAGCGGCUUCCUGGUCCGUUACUGACGCUAAAACGCGAAAGCGUGGGGAGCAAACA